rnacentral:snRNA from 1 species
GUGCUUGCUCUGGCACCACACAUACUAAAAUUGGAAUGAAACAGAAAAUAUUAGCAUGGCUCCUGCACAAGGAUAACAUUCAAAUUCAUGAAGCACUCCAGAAAAAA